rnacentral:rRNA from 1 species
GAUGAACGCUAGCUACAGGCUUAACACAUGCAAGUCGCGGGGCAGCAUGGGGGUUGCUUGCAACUCCCGAUGGCGACCGGCGCACGGGUGAGUAACGCGUAUCCAACCUGCCCUUCACCACGGGAUAACCCGGCGAAAGUCGGACUAAUACCGUAUGUUGUCCAUUGACGGCAUCCGAUUUGGACGAAAGGCUUUGCGGUGAAGGAUGGGGAUGCGUCCGAUUAGCCAGACGGCGGGGUAACGGCCCACCGUGGCUACGAUCGGUAGGGGUUCUGAGAGGAAGGUCCCCCACACUGGAACUGAGACACGGUCCAGACUCCUACGGGAGGCAGCAGUGAGGAAUAUUUGUCAAUGGGCGUAAGCCUGAACCAGCCAAGUAGCGUGCAGGAUGACGGCCCUAUGGGUUGUAAACUGCUUUUAUGCGGGGAUAAAGUGGCCCACGUGUGGGCUUUUGCAGGUACCGCAUGAAUAAGGACCGGCUAAUUCCGUG